AUUUUAUAUUAAAUUAAAGCAAUGUUUCCCCUGAAUAAAAUGAUAUAUGAUAAGGGUGGGUGCAUUUAAUAUGAAAGAGGUGAAUUACGGUUGGACAGACAUGUAGCGCAAAUGCCAGGUUUUGUUUACAUUUUGUUUCGUUCACAACGUGUACAUUUAGCUCAGUCCUUAAGGGGUUAAAGAUAUCACCCCUUCCUCUCCUUUAAUCUGUUUAAAUAAUAAUCAUGGGUAUUGUUUAGGGAUUAUGGUGUGGAGUUAGUAAACUUUCUGACUUAUUGAAUGCUGUUCCAAAUGAUUUAUCUAAAGAGGUCACCAUUAAAUUGACACUAAAGGCACCCAGACCACUUCAUCUCAAUGAAGUGAUCUGGGUGCACUGGUACUAUAGUUUCAAUGUAAAGCAUUGCUGUUUUGUUAGAUACAGCAAUCCUUAUAUUACACAGUAAAAUGCGCUUCUAGUAUUCUUUAUUACAGCCACCAGAGGAGCAUCCACUUUGAGAACCAAGUCAAUCUUGGUUCUCGCAACUUACCUUCAGUAGGGGUGCUGUACUUUAGGGAGAGAAGCUGAAUCUAAAUAAAGAGGAGAACAAUGUAGAGUUAGAAAUAUAGGUUUGUAUUCCUAACACUAUAGUGUUCCUUUAAUGCAGUGGUUUCCAAACUUUCUAUCACAAAUUCUCAAUUUAUGUUAUGCAUAACCCAUAUGAUGCUUCUUAUGGGACUAGAGACCACUUUCAUACAGUUCAUUUCUGUUAUUAAAGUGAAAUUAUCACCUCUACUGCAAAAUAACUGGAAUUUCACUGAAAUUCCAUCCCAGUCAAAAGAUAGGGACUACUUUUGUCUCAGUAAUUUCCUACAUGCAAGAGUGCCCCAACUGAAGCACCAGGAGCAGAAGAGGACUGUCCGGUAGAUGUUGGUGGCAUCCACAAGGGAAAGGUUCAGGUAAAUGUAACUCACCUUUGCCUUCCCCUCUCCUUGGCCACCAGACCCCCAGUGGAGAUGUCAAUGAUAGGGUUUUUUUCAAAAUAUGCAAAGUCCACAGUUGGUGAAAGUGCAGUUUUAAUGGUAAUUUAAAGAAAUAAUUUUGUGCUAGGAAGAGCAAAUCAAUUUAAAAAAAAAAUGAUAUUGGGGUGCUUUGCUUUACUUAGAUGUUAUGCUAUAAGGUAGAAGUGACUUGAGCCGUAUGAUUUUUGACAAUUCGUUUGUAAGACUCUGAGAAUAGAGAAUACUCUGGAUACAGUCAGAUUUAAAAUUAAAGUCAGUUGCCCAAACAUACACUAAUGUGACUGAAUUGCUCACCGGACUUCUGAAUCCAUGUACGUUCCGCAGAUAUAAAAUUAAUAUAAAUAACAUACACAGUAAGUGUCUGGAAAUCAUAAAGUAAAUUAAUGGAACAGGUAAAUAUUCAUGUUAUUAGAAAAAACAACAACAAUAUAUAUCAUAAUAUGUAUAUAUCCUUAUAAAUUGUUGAAACAAAGAAUGAAAAACGGCGUUAAGGUCAAUGAGUGUUACCUAAACACUGAUUUUAGGACACUUAUGAAAGUGGAGUAGUUAUAAUGGAAAUCUGUGGAAUGGUGAUUCACAAAAUGCAUACAAAAUCCAGCAAGCAUUCAAAGAUUGAUAUACUUCCUGGUAUUAGUUGUCCAUUAUUUGUUGGUACUGUGUUUCUCCACAUUUACAUCAUCUUUAUGAGUUACUUCAGUAUCUGAAAGAAAUAAGUACUCCGUAAAAUUAUGCUAUUAGUGGGGUUAGUUAAACUGUUUAAAAUAAUGUCAGUGUAAUAGAUAUUUUAUGUUUGCAAUCCAUUAUUAUUUCUCCAUAAUGUGUUCUAUUUCCACCAUGGAGGAAGUAGAUGACAAUGAGAUCUUAAGAAAAAGGAGAGCUGAGAAGGAAGGUAACUUUGGACAUUGAGUUAUUUGUACCAUGUUUAAAAACUAAAUCUCUUUAAUCCCCUCAUUAGCAACAUUUGUACACAUGGCUAUGGCUUCAUUUUGAAUGAACGACUGUAAAUGAUGUCAACUCCCUGCUGUCCAUCACCUCGUGCUUACAUCGCCCGAGUUCUGCAUGUUUCCUGAACAACAACUGCAAGGAAGAAAAUUAUUUUGGAAUAACUCAGGAUACAUAUCUAAGUAUGCUUGUGACCUGCAAUACAACCUGCAAUUUUCAUUGAACUAAGAAUGCCUGUUUUUUGCCAGGCAACAGUAUUUACUGUGAUUUUCAUUUUUACAUCCAGUUGGUAUGUUGGGGAGUGUACAUUCUAAAAACCCCAAAUAUGUGUUAGACAUGCCUAAAGCUUUUCACCUUUUCUACCAUAUACAAUGAAAAAUAUAAUUAAUUUUGUUUAUUUUUUUAUCAACCUCUUAUUUUGGUAUAUGCACGACAAAAAAAAAUGAGAUGUCUUGGUAAUUGAUACAAGGUAAUCGUGAAUAGCCUAUGAACAUAAUGAUAAACCAAACAAAAUGUUAUAGUAUAAUGAGUGGUAAUUGGGUGAUACAAAUAAGACAUAGUAUAGUAUGGAGAUAGAAUAACACAAAACAUUUAAAUGGGUAUGUGGCGCUCGUUUAAUAAUAAUCAAGUGCAGCCUAAAACAACUUAAAGUGUAACGUCACCUUAUACACUUAACAAAAAUAGUAGAAAAACCAACGAAAAAGUGUUAAAGCACACACAAUGAUUAAAAAUUAUUUACAUUUUAAAACUUAAUGAGAAGGAUCUUGUAAC
rnacentral:lncRNA from 1 species